GUCAUGGACCGGAAGCGUGUGCGGGCGCGCCUGCCUCGAGGCCAGCAUCAGGGAAGUGUGUCCCAGGUGAAGGCGAAGCUUCCUUCACGUGUUCUUGGAGGACUUUCCGCUCGCAAGCGCUUCUCCAUUCUCCUAACGUCUCGGGCCUGUGUGGAAAGAAGAAACCUUCUGGUGGCCUUGGCCUGGGAAUAUGGCGGUUCCAAGCACAAUGCUGUACUGAAAUGGUACCAGAAGACAGAAGGUUACGCGGUAAGGGGCAACGUUAGCCAACUUCCACCAGCCCUGGGCAGUAGUAGUCCUGUGCCGGUACAUGUUCCAUGUGUGCCUGUGCUUAGUGGGCCAGUAUGCAUAUAAUUAUCAUCUUUCUAUUCCCCCAAACCGAGAGGCAAAUGCAACGGGAAGCCAGUCUGCACUCCACCCACCAAACAUAUGGCUGCAUGCAGAGCUGCAUCUCCCUAGGGAAGUGGGACCUUUUCCUUUCCUCAAAGUAUUACCGACCACAGGUUCUUAGGCUCUUGAUGCAAUAGAAAUUCUCACCAGGCCAAAAGAGUUUUUCCAGCAAGGCUUUAUUAGAGCAUAUGCCCAGGCACAAGGGAGGAAGCACAGGAGAGGGAGGAUUCUCUGGCUGACUCCCUGAAAUGAGCUGGUAGGGAUUUUUUUUUUAUUAGGCAAUGUGCGGAAAUUGAUGUCAAGGUAGGGAAUGCUGGCUGGGUAGGGUAGAGAACGUGAGGGGGAAGGGAUGUGGGUCAGCUUAUCUGCUGGCGAUGGUUGUCUUGAGUAAUGGGCCACCUGGUGUUCUGGUUGGUGGCAGCAAGGCUGUAUGAAUCAGUUGUUUAGCAUUCCUUCCUGAGGUGGGAUACUUGCAACCUUGGUUGGAUAUUUUGGAUCUCCUAAGGCCAGUUCCUGUAAUCCUUUAAGUAAAAGGCAAGGUUAAACAUUAUGAGAGCACCAAAGAACAAUAUAGAAUGGCUGUUUUCUUUGCGUGACUGUUAGUGGGUAUGGCAUCAGUGAGGUAGUGGUGUGGGUUUUGUGAUCAGUGGGAAUGUGUGGAAGAAUGCUGUAGUGGGGCCUCCACCCAAGGAGACAGCUUUUGCUAAAUUACACUCCCAAAGAAGAGUGCUUUGCUUAAUUCAUAUAAAGGCCCUACAUAAAUGGACCUCCAAAACUUCUCCA
rnacentral:lncRNA from 10 species